UGAAGGCAUCCACGACAAGCAUUCCAAAAAGGAGCUCUUGUCUAAUUUUACAUAAUUUCUGGCAUUCCUGAAGGAUGUGCUAUUGAUCAUUCGCAAAUCAGUUCACCGAGAGUGCAAGAUUUCUCAAGAGGGAUUAAUUUUGAGAAACAUUCCCUUGACAGCGACAUAAUAAUUACUCCUUCUUCAAGAUUGUCA